AAUGGAUUUGCAUCCCAGAAUGGCACCUGAAACUCUCCAUAGAAGUGGACUGUCUUGUGGUUGGCACUGUAUAAGCAGAGUCCAGAAAACUAGAUACACUGAGCAGGGAUAACGCACCAGUGUGGACAUUCCUGUCACCUCAGAAAGCCCUUAUACCAGCCGUGCACAUGCGGGCCAGAUAACACAAGAGGGUUACAAGGCAAUGGACAAUACUACUUCCAUUCCAUUCACCUGCUUCUUCCUGAGUUUUGUGGUUUUAAACAUCACAAAGGAAGGUCUGUUCUAGUUUUAUCACAUCACUGUCUAUCUUGAUGGCAAGAACAAUGAUGGGACAGACAGAGCUGUAUCCCAUAUUCCUCCUCCUAAGGUAA
rnacentral:lncRNA from 1 species